GAAAUGCGAUAAGUAAUGUGAAUUGCAGAAUUCAGUGAAUCAUCGAAUCUUUGAACGCACCUUGCGCUCCUUGGUAUUCCUUGGAGCAUGCCUGUUUGAGUAUCAUGAAAUCUUCAAAGUAAAUCUUUUGUUAACUCAAUUGGUUUCUACUUUGGUAUUGGAGGUCUUUGCAGCUUCACACCUGCUCCUCUUUGUUCAUUAGCUGGAUCUCAGUGUUAUGCUUGGUUCCACUCGGCGUGAUAAGUUAUCUAUCGCUGAGGACACUGUAAAAGGUGGCCAAGGUAAAUGCAGAUGAACCGCUUCUAAUAGUCCAUUGACUUGGACAAUACUUUUAUGAUCUGAUCUCAAAUCAGGUAGGACUACCCGCUGAACUUAAGCAUAUCAAUAAGCGGAGGA
rnacentral:misc_RNA from 1 species